rnacentral:rRNA from 1 species
UACGGGGGGAGCAAGCGUUGUUCGGAUUUACUGGGCGUAAAGGGCGCGUAGGCGGCCAGCACAAGUCAGUUGUGAAAUCUCCGAGCUUAACUCGGAAAGGUCAACUGAUACUGUGCGGCUAGAGUGCGGAAGGGGCAACUGGAAUUCUUGGUGUAGCGGUGAAAUGCGUAGAUAUCAAGAGGAACACCUGCGGCGAAGGCGGGUUGCUGGGCCGACACUGACGCUGAGGCGCGAAAGCUAGGGGAGCAAACAGG